rnacentral:rRNA from 1 species
AGUAACAGUCGUAACAAGGUUUCCGUAGGUGAACCUGCGGAAGGAUCAUUAUUGGAAUGAAAUCUCUAGCAAGGGGCUGUUGCUGGGCACUAGCCAUGUGCACGCCUUUUUGUCUAUUUCU